rnacentral:tRNA from 1 species
CGCCGGGUGGAGCAGCCUGGUAGCUCGUCGGGCUCGUAGCCCGAAGGUCGCAGGUUCAAAUCCUGCCCCGGCUA